AAUCUCUGGGGAAAGGUGUUGAGGAGCGACCCCAAACAAGCAAAUGGUCCAGCACUCCUAGCAGACGUGCACCCAGAAGCUGGUGGUGCUCCCGACCCACCAGGCUCUUGCUGCGGGAAGCGCCUCCUCACCCAGCCCUGCCUGAGGCACCCUGCCCCCAGAUCACACCCAGGGGCUGCUCUCAGGGGAAAAAAACAACACACCUUUACUGAAAGCGAGGAAUCGCCUGGAGAAAUCAUCGCCCACCUCGUCCAGGCUGGGCUCGGGCCCUGUCCCCCCGGCGGAGGCAGGGCUGUGGGAUCCAGGGACGCGGGCACCGCUUCAGCGGCGCUGGGGGGCCCCCUGCCCGCAGAGCUCGCAGGAGCAGCUCCUCCUGCUCCUGCUCCUGCUGCUGCUGCUCCCGGAGCCCCGGCAGCCCCCCCGGGCUCUCCGGCCGCACAAGCCCCGCAGUCACCGCCGAAGGGCACGGCGAGCACCCGCAGGGGCGGCGGUGGUCUCGCUGGGGCGGGGGCUGCGGCUCGGGGGUCUCCCGGCUGGGCUGUGUCCCCCCGCCCCGCCCUGCCUCCAGCCCGGUGCCUGCCCACCCCCGGGCACUUCUGGCUCCGGACCAGGACCCGGACCCCCAGCGGUCCCCCCGGCCCCCAGCCGGCCCGGGGAGGCCUCAUCGCUAGGUGGCAAUGCCGGGCAGGGCCGGGGACGGCAGGCGGCCUCCCGGGGCCUAGGGCCCCUCACACGGUGGCCCCGGCCUGCAGGAGGGAGGGGAGGUGGCAGCUCGGCCUCAAGUUGCACCAGGGGAGGUUCAGGCUGGAAAUGAGGAGACAUUUCUUCUCAGAAAGCGCAGUCAGGCAUUGGGACGGGUUGCCCAGGGAGGUGGUGGAGUCACCGUCCCUGGGGGUGUUCAAGGAGAGGUUGGACGUGGUGCUUAGGGACACGGUUCAGUGGGCGACAUUGGUGGUAGGGGGAUGGUUGGACCAGGUGAGCUUGGAGGGCUUUUCCAACCCAGACGAUUCUGUGAUCACCGAUUCACUAUCAAGGGAUGUUGGUUAA
rnacentral:lncRNA from 1 species